CUCUGUUAGGGACUGUGUGGGGUGUAGCAGAAAGGAUGCAGACUACUGGCUCUCAGAGGAUUGCUACCUGGUGAGAGUGGACACACAAGAGAGCCUGAGAGCUUUAACUGAGAGUUGAAGUUAUUCUGGAGGAGGAAGAAGGUGGUGUGACCAACCCAUGAGGGUUUGCAUCGGGGGACAAAUGUUGAGUGCAGCAUUUGAAUGGCACGCCGUCUUCUCCAGACAGUGGUCAUGAAUUAAAAUGGAUAUCCAACUGUUCCAUGAGGCAACGAAUGGGGAUUUUACAUAUUAAAUCAGCAUUGUCUGCUGGAGCUCUCUGCUACCUGGGAAGGCUCUGCAUUUGGGCUGUCAAAGCCACAAGCUCAGACAAUGAAGAUGGCAAACUGAAGGUGAACACUUCUUUCAAGUCAGUCACAAGAGGCUUAUGUGUUGGACUGUGUCUAUGGAUAUCCUAUUGCAGAACAUGGCGUUAGAUUAGUGAGAGCAGGGCAAAAAACUUCAUCUUUCAUGAGUGCAAUUUCAAACUUGGUGCCAACGAGAGACAUCUUCCCUGGACUCAAAUGCGCGAAGCCUGAACAGGACAUCUUGAGUGUUAGCUUCUCUGGGAUGGCUGCGGUGUGCAGCACAUUUUUGUUAAGGUGUUAUUCAAAGUUUCUGAUUAACAUAAGUUUUUCUUAAAAUUAUACAAAAACAUAAUACCAUGAUUAUGGAAAUAAAAAGCCACCCACAAGCUUACUAUCUUUACAAACCA
rnacentral:lncRNA from 1 species